UGACGUAGGGUGCAAGCGUUGUCCGGAAUUAUUGGGCGUAAAGAGCUCGGUAGGCGGCUUGUUGGCGUCAGCUGUGAAAACCCGCAGCUCAACUGUGGGCUUGCAGCUGAUACGGGCAGGCUUGAGUUCGGUAGGGGAGACUGGAAUUCCUGGAUGUAGCGGUGAAAUGACGCAGAUAUCAGGAGGAACACCGGUGGCGAAGGCGGGUCUCUGGACAGUGAUCUGACGCUGAGGCACGAAGGCCAGGGGAGCGAACGGG
rnacentral:rRNA from 1 species